GAUGAACGCUGGCGGCGUGCCUAAUACAUGCAAGUCGAGCGAACAGACGAGGAGCUUGCUCCUCUGACGUUAUCGGCGGACGUGUGAGUAACACGUGGAUAACCUACCUAUAAGACUGGGAUAACUUCGGGAAACCGGAGCUAAUACCGGAUAAUAUAUUGAACCGCAUGGUUCAAUAGUGAAAUACGGUUGUGCUGUCACUUAAAGAUGGAUCCUCGCCUCAGUAGCUAGGUGGGAAGGUAACGGCUUACCAAGGCAACGAUGCGUAGCCGACGUGAGGGGUGGACGGGCCACACUGGAACUGAAACACGGUCCAGACUCCUACGGGAGGCAGAAGUAGGGAAUCUUCCGAAAUGGGCGAAAGCCUGACGGAGCAACGCCGCGUGAGUGAUGAAGGUCUUCGGAUCGUAAAACUCUGUUAUUAGGGAAGAACAAAUGUGUAAGUAACUAUGCACGUCUUGACGGUACCUAAUCAGAAAGCCACGGCUAACUACGUG
rnacentral:rRNA from 1 species